rfam:Triticum aestivum genome assembly, contig: Triticum_aestivum_CS42_TGACv1_scaffold_577595_7BL
UUUCUACUCCCUCCGUUCGGAAUUACUUGUCGCAGAAACGGGUGUAUCUAGACGUAUUUUAGUUUUAGAUACAUCCAUUUUCGAGACAAGUAAUUCCGAACGGAGGGGGUACAAC